rnacentral:rRNA from 1 species
CCUACGGGGGGCUGCAGUGGGGAAUAUUGGACAAUGGGCGCAAGCCUGAUCCAGCAAUGCCGCGUGUGUGAAGAAGGCCUGCGGGUUGUAAAGCACUUUCAGUGGGGAGGAAGGCCUCGAUAUUAAUACUAUUGAGGAUUGACGUUACCCACAGAAGAAGCACCGGCUAACUCUGUGCCAGCAGCCGCGGUAAUACAGAGGGUGCAAGCGUUAAUCGACGUUACUGGGCGUGGUGGGUUCAUAGAGAUGUGAAAGCCCCGGGCUCAACCUGGGAAGUGCAGUUGAUACUGAGUAACUUGAGUAUGGUAGAGGGAAGUGGAAUUUCCAGUGUAGCGGUGAAAUGCGUAGAUAUUGGAAGGAACAUCAGUGGCGAAGGCGACUUCCUGGACCAUUACUGACACUGAGGCACGAAAGCGUGGGGAGCGAACAGGAUUAGAUACCCCAGUAGUC